CUGGACUCUUGUAGUGAGACAAGAAAAGAUGGAGACUUACUGCAAACAUUUGCCUUAAGCUCUUUAAUGCACGUUAAAAUUUAAGUGCAUAUACAGUAGACUGUAAGUACAUAGUGUUUGUAGAAGACAUGGCCACAUUGCCAAUCACUACACAGAUACCGCCCACAUUCUCACCUUAUCAUCGCAUCAACUCACCGUAAUAUUGGCUUCAAUCUCCUGUCUGGUGUUUUUUUGUGGCGAUCCUGGUGCUGCUGUCCAUCCUCUUUCAGAGACACUCGUUUUGCCGCAAAAUCAGGACUAAUCAGGAUUCUCGUCAAUACCCCGUAAGCCCCCUCGGGCUUGAUCAAGUAUGGAAAGACGGACUGAAUUAAGUUUAUUUUCAAAUUAAAUAAAGUCUGUAAUCGUUAUGGUGAAUUUUCUCUGCAUGAAAAGUUUAAAAACUUUUAAGGCAAAGUUUUACGCCUUUUUCAGAGCAGUAAUGCAGAAAAGCUACCGUGACAAAUUCAGGUCACUGAAGACAUGUAUUUCAUGCAAAAGAUAUAACGUCUAUGAAACUUGAAGCUAUGAUGUAAGCUUACAUACGUAAUGUAAUAAAAUACACUCGUGCUUAAGCAGGCAGUUGAAAGUAAGUUGCCUGCAUUUCUGGCUGAAGUGAAAGUUAGAUUUUAAACAUGAGUCAAAAAUGUGCUUUUAUUUUUUGUAUUUUAAAGUAUAUGUACAUGAUAUUUAAAAGUCUGAUGGUGGCAAGAGUUUGCAUGCUAGGUCUACGAUAAGACUACUCAUUACUUUAUUAUUUCCCUAGAUAUUUAUAUUUAGUGUACUGCAACACCAGAAAAAAUGGUGCAAGGGGAAUGAAGAUUGAUUAUGUAGUUAUAUUUGGUAUAUAAAUGUACAUGUACUAUAUACAUAUAUUGUUAGCUUUGGGAUAAAGUUAAUGUUUUUAGAGUAGAUGUUUUUCAGUAGAACACAGUGAGUGUAUAAAAAUGCUAAAGUUACAAUGAAACGAGGCACCAACCUAUACAAGCAUUUUAUGGGGAAAGAAUGGGAAUUACAUUAUUGUUCAGAUUUCUGAAAGAUUUGCUGAAUCAAGGGUAUUUCCACAAGUUAAUUUUUCAGUUAUAUCGUGAGUCAAUACAUUUUUUUUUUUUUUUAAUUUAGAAAAUUAAACAUUUUUCUGGUGGUUUGUUGCUAGGAUACAUUACAAAGUGUAAGGACAGGGGAUCUUUCAAUACCAAGGCUCUUAUUUAGUUGCUAUGCUGUCACUGAUUUCAAUGGGGAUCUUAAGAUUCUUAAAGUUACUACAAUAAGACUUCACUGAGGUGGGAGUGGGUGGAGAAGAAAGUAUUACUAUUCAGCAUUUUGUAAGACCCAAAUCAAAUGGGCUGGUAUAUAAGGAGACAAUCCAAAAUUUGAAACUGUGGAAAAAAUAGGGAAUUGGUCUCAGGAUAUUAAAUAUGACUCUAUAAUUAAUAUGAGGGUAACGUUUGUAAAUUUUCAACACUGACACUAUGUUUUGAUUUAUGGAUACUCUGCCCCACUAUUACAACAGUAGGCACUCAUUAUGGCUCCCCGCUAUAAUGAACAAGGUUCAGUGAUGGCCUAUGACAAUGCAGUGACCCAGGUAAGGAGUCUGUCUAAACAUCUAAUCCUUGCAAAGAAUCCCAUCACUUUUAGUCAUCCCAGUGACCAAGUCAACUACUCUGUUUCAUCAAGUGUUGAAAAAAUGCAGAGAUGUGCCUUUCUCUGGAGGGUUAAGUUAGCCCGAUUCCUUUCACCAGCCCGUACAGCUGUUUCUCGCCGGGCAGCCAAGCAACUACCAGUGGCAGACAUUGGAAACCUCUCUGCCUUAUCUCCCAUCCUACAUGAGCGUUCGCAAAAAGGACCGGCAACAGCAGAUCCACACGAUGACUGUGGAGCGGUUCGGCCUCAGUAGCCCUGUUCCAGACAAGAUGAGCAGCUGCACAAUCAAAGGGCUUCCUGCUUGCAAAUAUUGAUACAACAAGACAGCUUCACUGGAAGGCAUGUCUCUGUUCAGGGCAUCAUUAGACGAUCAUCUGCAAUUAAUCAGUGUUUCUUUUCUUCUUCUUCAAUGACUCAGGCUUGUAGACAAUUAACCCUCCCUAGCUGUCUGAUUCUUUUGCAAUUAAUUGCAGAACUAGUGUGCUACCUCUGUGGGGGAAACGAUAUUUAGCUUUCCCAGAGCAAAGAGAUGUUUUAUGUUUUCAUUUUGCCUUGAAAAGAAAGGAGGGUGUCCCUAUUACCAUGGGGCAUCAGAGUAAUUAACAGAUAAGGGAUACAAAGUAAGGGCGCAAACACAAGUGGAAGGCGUUGUCAGGACUGAGCUUUAAACAGGCAUGUUAUGCAAAUAAAUGCUACGUUAUUUCUGGUUGAUUAAUCCCGGCCUGUCAUGAGGAACGGAUUGUGGAACCCUGGUUUAAUUGUAUAGUCCUGAUAAACAGCAGCCAAACCACAGUUAAUGGGGUCUAACACUGAGAUUCCUCACACAUGCAAUCAAUAGAACAAAGCAGCUUGUAGAUAAUUGUGGGGAAACAUCUGAUGUUCAUCUGACUUUCAAACGAACCCAUUUUCUUUUUUCCAGACGAUAAUGGUGGGCUUUAACCAUUUCUUCUUUCCUAUCUAAAUUUAACUUCUGCAUGUCUGAAAAUGAGUAGUUAUUUGUAAUUAAUUGUAUGGUAGUCUAUUAUAUGACAACCCUUCUAUUACUGUAAAUACUUAAAAAAAUAAAUGCCUUUUAACAAUAGAAUAAAUUAUACUUUAUUAUUCUCUGUGGGGAAAUUCUCUGUAGACCUCCCCCAGCUUGCUCUCUAUAGGUAAGAGCCAGCUGGCCAUAAAGGCACCCAGGGAGCUGGGGGCUAAGGGCCUCGCUCAAGGACUCACAGAAGUGGCAAAUCCAGGCUCAAACCAGCGCCCUCGUGAUCACAGGCACAGAGGCUUAGUCACACACUGGCAUGUCAAAGUCUCUAGACUUUUCACAAGAAAAAGAACAGGAUAAAACCACAAGACUGGUAUUAUUUGACUAUAAGAAUUUAUAAUUGAAGUCUCAAGGGUAUAUCCUAAAAAUAACAAGAGAUCAUCAGCAUUUUGUUUUCUUGUGUGAAUGUUGUGGAUACUUGCUGUUCUAAUAUAGGACUGUGUUUGUCACCACACUCUAUUACAAAUGAAUGUUCUGUUUGCUGCUUUCUUUUCAGUCGCCCCCGACUUAUGAGGAAUCCAUUGGCCAGUGUGUCACGGUCCCCUGCAGGCUUGGGGAACCCGAUACUGCCUCGCCCUCUCUUGCUGACUCUCACCAUAGCGAAGCCUCCGCUGAGGUGAGAGGCAGUCUCAGAGCAGCAUUCCACUCCAGAUGCCCGCUGUGCCCCUUUGCCUACAGUAUGUAGAGCCUUCUUGCCACCCCGCCCCCUUUCCCAAAAGGCUCUGUAAGAUCAAGGCACACUUCAGCUCUUCUCAUAAGUGUAACAGAAACAUAAAACGCAGAUAACAUUGUCCCAGUUAAGAAGUCAGUGGAUUUGGGCCAAAGGCUGAAUAUCAGUGUCAACUGGCUAAACAUCAGUGCCAAAAGGCAGACACAGUUAUACAGCUGGAUUUUGCCACUGUGUCUUUCCGAACCUUUACCCUCAACGCAGGGAUGCCUAUGAUGCCUUAUCGAUGGAGACUUUGUUUUUCACUAAACAGGAAAAUGCCCUGUUCUUUGAACUUGAGCCUGUUUUUUUAAAUGACUCAGGAUGAAAUAAAAAUCAUCCGUGGCUAUUUAGGAUUUUCUGAUUUGUCUGUUACUUAUUUAAACGGCUUCUGGCCGACUUUAAAGGAACACGUAACACCUGAUAUCUGGGAGCAGUUCUGAAGUGGACCUUGUCGCAGGGAGUCAUUAACCUCAGACAAUUCAUUCUGGCGUUGGUGGAAAACGGGAAGAGCAAGCUACUGCAAAAGCACACUCUACAAUUGCUUACAUUAAUGUUAAUGGAUGCAAACAGUCGUAUAAAAACAUUUCACUCAUUUCUGGCACCAGUUAGCCUGUGUUCCAAGUGUAUAAAGAUGUAUAAAGUAAAAUGUAUUGUUCAGAAGAAAUAAUGAAGA